rnacentral:rRNA from 1 species
UACGUAGGGGGCAAGCGUUGUCCGGAUUUAUUGGGCGUAAAGAGCGUGUAGGCGGCCAAGCAGGUCAGCUGUGAAAACUCGAGGCUCAACCUCGAGACGUCGGUUGAAACCGCUUGGCUAGAGUCCGGAAGAGGAGAGUGGAAUUCCCGGUGUAGCGGUGAAAUGCGCAGAUAUCGGGAAGAACACCCGUGGCGAAGGCGGCUCUCUGGGCCAAUAUUGACGCUGAGGUGCGAAAGCGUGGGGAGCAAACAGG